rnacentral:tRNA from 1 species
AGGCGGGUGGUGCAAUUGGCAGCACGACGGUCUUUGGAACCGUAUGUUGCAGGUUCGAAUCCUGCCCCGCCUGCGA